AACGAACGCUGGCGGCAUGCCUAACACAUGCAAGUCGAACGAGACCUUCGGGUCUAGUGGCGCACGGGUGCGUAACGCGUGGGAACCUGCCUUUAGGUUCGGAAUAACUCAGAGAAAUUUGAGCUAAUACCGGAUGAUGUCUUCGGACCAAAGAUUUAUCGCCUUUGGAUGGGCCCGCGUUGGAUUAGCUAGUUGGUGGGGUAAAGGCCUACCAAGGCGACGAUCCAUAGCUGGUCUGAGAGGAUGAUCAGCCACACUGGGACUGAGACACGGCCCAGACUCCUACGGGAGGCGGCAGUGGGGAAUAUUGGACAACGGGCGAAGGCCUGAUCCAGCAAUGCCGGGUGAGUGAUGAAGGCCUUAGGGUUGUAAAGCUCUUUUACCCGAGAUGAUAAUGACAGUAUCGGGAGAAUAAGCUCCGGCUAACUACGUG
rnacentral:rRNA from 1 species